rnacentral:lncRNA from 1 species
CUUCUGCACUUUUUCUAGCUUCAUGGAAUAUAAGCCUAUAUCAUUAAUUUUUAGCAUUUUCUCUUUUCCAAUAUUGGAAAAAAUCCAUAAUUUUAUAGGAACUGAAUUGUAUCCCCCUGCCCAAAUUCAUAAAGUCCUAAUACCAAUGUACUUGGAAAUGGGGUGGGACCUUUGGGUGUUAAUGAGGUUUAAAUAAGGUUAUGAAGGUGGGCCCCUUAUAAUGUGAAUAGUGCCCUUAUAAGAAGAUACAUCAGAGAACUUGCUUUCUCUCUCUCCCUCAGUCUUGUGAAGACAUAGUGAAAAGACAGCUGUCUGAAAGCCAGAGAAACAGUCCUCAUGGGGCAAUUGAAUCAUCUAACACCUUGAUCUUGGAGUUCUCAUCCUCCAGAACUGAUUUAUUAUCUUGGCAUCUGCUUUGAAAAGGACCCAACCAAAACAAUAUUAUAUCAGCAUAAAAUCUAAGGGUAGGUUUCUUUUAUAUUACAGCCUCAACAAAUUUGUGUAAGAUUGGAAUUUUGUCUUUCUUGAGUAUUUGGUAAAUAUUUUAAAGCAAUAUUUGAU